AUUGAACGCUGGCGGCAUGCCUUACACAUGCAAGUCGAACGGCAGCACGGGAGCAAUCCUGGUGGCGAGUGGCGAACGGGUGAGUAAUGUAUCGGAACGUGCCCAGUCGUGGGGGAUAACGUAGCGAAAGCUACGCUAAUACCGCAUACGAUCUAUGGAUGAAAGCGGGGGAUCGCAAGACCUCGCGCGAUUGGAGCGGCCGAUAUCAGAGUAGGUAAUUGGUGGGGUAAAGGCUCACCAAGCCGACGAUCUGUAGCUGGUCUGAGAGGACGACCAGCCACACUGGGACUGAGACACGGCCCAGAGUCCUACGGGGGACAGCAGUGGGGAAUUUUGGACAAUGGGCGAAAGCCUGAUCCAGCAAUGCCGCGUGCAGGAUGAAGGCCUUCGGGUUGUAAACUGCUUUUGUACGGAACGAAACGGCGAACUCUAAUACAGUUUGCUAAUGACGGUACCGUAAGAAUAAGCACCGGCUAACUACGUGCCAGCCGCCGCCGUAA
rnacentral:rRNA from 1 species